GUGGCUUCAUAAAAAUUGAAUGAGGAUUUGCUGAAACUGAUUAGUAUCGGCAAGUUUUGAUGGAAUGAAGCCUACAAAAAUUGUUUCCCUCGCUAUCCGGUGUUAUUCUCAAUGUUGCAUUUGGACGUUGGGAAACUACAUCA